rnacentral:lncRNA from 1 species
CAGAGCCUCUUUUAAAUUCAUCCCUUCAUAUUUCUUGGUGUGUUCAGUGUGAAGAUUUCCAGGUCAUGCCAUGACAGCCUGCUCCACAAGACAAGUGAAGCUGAGAGCAGACACUUCAGUCAUGGAGUGACUCCAGCUGUCUUUGACUCCUUAGCUGAUGCUGAUGGAAGCACACAAACAUGCAAGUGUGCCUGGACAGACCUGGUAAUCCAUUUCCAGAGGGAUAUACAUCAUCUUUUGUAAACAUGUGGAAACCAGAAGGAGAGUUUUGUUGCUAAACUUAAGCUGUGGAAAACUCAGUAAGACAUGAGUUUCUUCCUCAAAUGCUAUGAAAUGAAGUACUCAAGAUAGAGAUAAUGACAAGACAGCCUUAUUUCCAGGUAGCUGAAGGAGAAGAGGUGCAUGCUCUUUGCUUUGGAUCUUGAAGACCAGCUCAUUUGGAAAGGUGAGGUGGAAGGGAGGAAGGGAGGAAGGGAGGAAGGGAG